UGGGGAAUAUUGGACAAUGGGCGAAAGCCUGAUCCAGCCAUGCCGCGUGCAGGAUGAAGGCGUUAUGCGUUGUAAACUGCUUUUUAUAUAGGAAGAAAUAGUCCUUGCGAGGAAAGUUGACGGUACUAUAUGAAUAAGCACCGGCUAACUCCGUGCCAGCAGCCGCGGUAAUACGGAGGGUGCAAGCGUUGUCCGGAUUUAUUGGGUUUAAAGGGUGCGUAGGCGGUUUAUUAAGUCAGUGGUGAAAGACGGUCGCUCAACGAUUGCAGUGCCAUUGAUACUGGUAGACUUGAGUAUGAUUGAGGUAGCUGGAAUGGAUAGUGUAGCGGUGAAAUGCAUAGAUAUUAUCCAGAACACCAAUUGCGUAGGCAAGUUACUAAGUCAUAACUGACGCUGUAGCGCGAAAGCGUGGGGAUCAAACAGGAUUAGAUACCCUCGUAGUCCCUGAGCGGGCUGGCAAGGCGCAU
rnacentral:rRNA from 1 species